GACGAACGCUGGCGGCGUGCUUAACACAUGCAAGUCGAACGGUGAAGCGCCUUCCUUUUUGGUGGGUGUGGAUGAGUGGCGAACGGGUGAGUAACACGUGAGUAACCUGCCCCCUUCUUCUGGAUAACCGCAUGAAAGUGUGGCUAAUACGGGAUAUUCUGGGUCUGUCGCAUGAUGGGUCUGGGAAAGAUAUUGUUUCGGUGGGGGAUGGGCUCGCGGCCUAUCAGCUUGUUGGUGGGGUGAUGGCCUACCAAGGCGGUGACGGGUAGCCGGCCUGAGAGGGUGGACGGUCACACUGGGACUGAGACACGACCCAGACUCCUACGGGAGGCAGCAGUGGGGAAUAUUGCACAAUGGGCGCAAGCCUGAUGCAGCGACGCCGCGUGAGGGAUGGAGGCCUUCGGGUUGUGAACCUCUUUCGCCAGUGAAGCAGGCCUGCCUCGUUUGUGGGUGGGUUGACGGUAGCUGGAUAAGAAGCGCCGGCUAACUACGUGC
rnacentral:rRNA from 1 species